CAAGGGCGGAGCUAAUGGGCGCCCUCUCAGGAGUGUUUUAUUUACAUCGAGAGGUAAUUGAUUCUUCAGUAGAGCCCUGGUUGUACCAGGUGAUGCCACAGAGACUGAGGGUCAGCAAUCUUCUUGUCCCUGAAUUGAGUGGUGGAGGAGAGGAAGCUAG